AACCCCUAAAAAGGUUAAAAAAAAAAAAAAAAAAAAAAAAAAAGUAUCUGUUCUUAUCAGUUUAAUAUCUGGUACGCCGGCACAGUCCGGCUCAUAUAUUAAUCUGAUUUUUGGCAUUAGGUCAUGGGAUCAUAGGUUUACCUUGCCCUGACCACGGGUUGCCUCGGCUUUGCACUACUGCUGAGCGCGGCCCAGAAUGA
rnacentral:snRNA from 1 species